GUCAGUUCCGGGAGGAGCCUGUGGAGCCCGCCAGUGUGCGGGCGCAGGGAGGCGCGAGGGCGCGUAGGGGCAGAGGCGGGAGAUGGUGACAUCGAGGAGGACGGGCGGCUGCCUGGGCUGGUCAUGCCUGGUGAGCCCUGCCUCGGCCGCGGCCAGCCCCCGCGACACGGCUUGUUUGUGCCCGCGGUAUUCGGAGAGGACGCCUGUGGCGUCAGAGGAACGAGCCCGGGAGCGUCCGGUCCAGCCGCCUUCCCCGCCGCCGGUCCCGGCAUCCCCCGCCGCGACGUGGGGAGCCUACGCUGCCUCUGUGUUUGUCACCCCUCAGAUCGAAUUUGCAGUCUCUCACACCUCUUUUCUGCCAUUCUCUAGGGAGUGGGAUAGAAAGGAAUUAUUCAGUAAGAUAGACUGCAUACGGCCACGAUUGAUUGUUGAUUGAUUAUUCAGGAGGUUUUAGAACUUGUAAAGUGGCAUUGAUUUCCAUUGAAUUUGGGCCUAUCCUAUGUCUUAGGCAAUCGUUUGCUGACUCUCCAGGAUCGUCUCAGGUCGUAGAGUAUAAAGAGGGCAAGAGCAUGGGCUUCUAGAACCCAGCCUUGGCUCACGUCCUGCCUCUGUGCUUGGCAGCGCCUUACCUACCUGCUCUGAUGCUCAGCGUUUAAUCUGCAGAGUGGAGCCAGGAUCCCAGAGAAUCAGCUCAUCAGGACAAGCCACUGGAGAAUGGAUGACAGCAGCACAAACAAACAGCUGCUUUGCAGGGAGCUGGGGGUGAGCAGUCACUCAAAGGAAGACCAGGAGCCACUGAAGCACAGCCUUAAAACGCCUCACGUGGCUAUGGACAGCUGGGAAGGAAUGGGGACUGAUGAUGAACUGGAGUUUACUGUUUUCACUGGCUACUUUAGACCCAUCCACGGGAUAAACACAGUGUGCAAAUCCAAAAGGUGAGCUGAAAGUAGUAACAGAUUAAUCCACACAGGCAGUGGGGGCAAAAGCCACCACUUGUUAAAAAGACUUAAUGCAUCUAAUUCAAAGUCAGAGGUUUUUCCUCAGUUCUCAGUCUUCUCGGCCUCUGUAGCAUUUGGCAUUGCUGACCACCCUCCUUGGUGGCCUAUGACUGGUUCUCUUCAAAGCCUUCCGACCAGAGUUCAUUGUGUUAUUCACCAGCUCUUCUACCUGCUCCUUAACUGUAGGGAUAGUCCCCAAGGUUCAAUCUCUACACCCUCUCCAUCUCACGGCUGUCCCCUCUCAACUCUGGUGACACUCAUUUCUGUUGCUAGUUCUGAUCCCCAAGUGCUGCACCCAGCAAGCCUUGUGCUUCCUCACCUUGUUCUGUUGUUACUCUCCUCUUCAUCUGAGAUGCAUUGGAAGAUUAGAUUCAGCCCCUUUUCUCACCUAAAUUCUACCUCUUCUGCAAAAACUUAACAUGAAACCUCUGUGUGAAAGGUUUCCAGAUCAUUCCUGCUCACAAUUGUUAUCACCCUGCAUUGUACUCAUAACUUGUCCUGCCUAGAUAACUCACUUGAUAAGCAACCAUACUGCCCAGUGGCAGCUAAUCCAUUGUUUACUCAUUGGCUUUCAUCUUUUCUCCUCACUUUAUUUCAAGCUCCUCCAAUGUGGCAUUUCUGGCUAUUCCCAAAAACAACUUCAUAAUACCUCAUGUAUAAUAAGGACACAAUAAAUCAUUUUGAUUGGUGGUUCCUUAACUUUUCUCCUUAGCAGAACUUCCUUUAUCUGGUAGCUUUGCCCCUUCCAGUACCAUACAGAACAUUUGCACCCUCUCAAAUAUCCCGGAAGCCUAUGGCAGUGUGGGCUCCCACGUGUUUUCAGUGGAUGGAGUACCGUGGGAGGAAAUUCCUUUAAGUCAUUUUUGCUAUGCGAGGAGUUCAGGAGGUAAGUAGCACUGAAUUCCAAUGUUCAGUUCCCAGCUACUGGUAAAGAUCUCCUACGCAAGAGUUUUCCUUGCUGUGGGUCACAGCCUAUUAGUAGUUCAUGAAAUCAAUGUGAUGGGUCCCUUCUAGCUGUGUAAUAUUUCAAAUGUGAUAAGACAAGGUAGUGUAGGGUAGAGUACAAUAGACUAGAAUGCAAUGGAAGAUUAGAUUCAGAGGGUAUGCUCAUAGUUACAGUAAAGUAUUUUGUGGCAGUUAUUGAGCUAUGGUCUUUCAGCUUCAAACCUACCCUCUAUCCUCUGUUUUGUGUUGGUGGGACUGGAACUGUGCAAACCACAUUUUUCCUUCGUCAGAAAGGAGCAAAUAGUUUCCUCUCCUCCAGUACUCUCGGUAGCCAGAGGACAGAGGAGGCCCACUAUGAUUGACCGCAUCCCCUCCACAAUGGCCGAUUAGCCAGGUGGCAGUUUUACCUGUCUCCAGCUUCAUGGGCUUCAGAACUGGCCUCAUGACAUUUCUUCUCCCUCUGACCCAGAGUAUUCUUAGCAUCAGAUAGGCAGUGUUCCUCUUUCAGAGUCUGCAUCCCAUCCCCAAAGGGCCUCUCCUCUGAACAUCUGGGUUCUGAUAACCCCAAAGGGCCUCUCCUGCAAACAUCUGGGUUCUGAUAACUCCAGCUUCCUCUUCUCUCUUCCAUCUCCAGCUCUAGAGGCAAGAGCCGCUUCUUGCAGGUAUUACCUAUGUGUCACUUUUAUUCCUUUUUUAAUGUUUCAGUCCCCCAACAUCUGUCUAAUACAGUUCCUUGUGCUAAAUUCUCUCUGUUGAAAUACUUAAUCUAGUUCCUAUUUUCCUGACUAAUAUGGAUUGGGAAGUAAAAUACAUUUCCUGCUAUGGAAUGUCCGUCAAAAGAGUUUAAGAAACACUGCCUUAGAGGAGUGGGGAAUUCUUAAAUAAACAGACAGUUGCCCUGAGAGCCGUGGGGCCAGUCCUAACAUGUAGAAGUACUCUGAAUUUCAGGCCCAUGAAGAGCAAAGACCCGAUUCCACUACUGCAGCUGUCACUGUCCCCAGCCUGGCCUGUGGGGAUCACUACAGAUGACACUGCAGUUGUCCACCAGUUUGGCCUGAACUCCAAGCUUCAUCUGGAAUCUGACCUCUCAGACAUGCAAAAACUCAGCUUCACUAGCUACCCUCUUACUCCUUAUUAGCAAGGGGGAGGAAGCAGAAAGUUAAUGAGGAAGAAAGCUAGGAAGUAGUACAGAGACAUACAGUGAAGUGGAACUCGAUGAGUGGAAGAGAAGCAUUAAAAAGAUAAAUUUG